CCCUCUAACUAAACUUUAGAAGCAGUCCCGCCUUCCAAGCAUCAGACCACCAUCAUGCAUUAGCUGGGUCUUUCACACCCUGAAAGUAAAUGAGACAAGCUGCAUGUGGUCCGUGCUGAACUGUCGGUCGUUUUGAAAAAAGGGAAUUUGGCACAUCUGGAACAUGUCUACUUGCUGUGGAGAUGAUGACUUGUUCCAGAAGAUGUGCCACAUGGAGAAGGUCUUCAACUGUAAUGAUGCUGCCCACCCUCCUGGAAAGACAAUGACAUCCUGGCAUCCUGAAGACUAAUGGACAUUGCAAAAAUUCUGCAAUAUCUUCUCAUCAUCUGCUUCAGCAGCAGUCUGGAAGAAUCACACCCAUCAGAUUGACAUGUGAUAGCUACACGUUUGCUGACUGGUUUUUCCUCAUGUCUGCAGGUUCCAUCAACCCCCCUCCAUAAGCUGUCCCCCCC